GACGAACCGUGCGAACGUUGUUCGGAAUCACUGGGCUUAAAGGGCGCGUAGGCGGGCUAUCAAGUCAGGGGUGAAAGCCCACGGCUCAACCGUGGAAGUGCCUUUGAUACUGGUAGUCUGGAGGGAGGUAGGGGCGUGCGGAACUUCCGGUGGAGCGGUGAAAUGCGUAGAUAUCGGAAGGAACACCGGUGGCGAAAGCGGCGCGCUGGACCACUACUGACGCUGAGGAACGAAAGCUAGGGGAGCAAACAGG
rnacentral:rRNA from 1 species